rnacentral:rRNA from 1 species
GACGAACGCUGGCGGCGUGCUUAACACAUGCAAGUCGAACGGAAAGGCCCUGCUUUUGUGGGGUGCUCGAGUGGCGAACGGGUGAGUAACACGUGAGUAACCUGCCCUUGACUUUGGGAUAACUUCAGGAAACUGGGGCUAAUACCGGAUAGGAGCUCCUGCUGCAUGGUGGGGGUUGGAAAGUUUCGGCGGUUGGGGAUGGACUCGCGGCUUAUCAGCUUGUUGGUGGGGUAGUGGCUUACCAAGGCAUUGACGGGUAGCCGGCCUGAGAGGGUGACCGGCCACAUUGGGACUGAGAUACGGCCCAGACGCCUACGGUAGGCAGCAGUGGGGAAUAUUGCACAAUGGGCGGAAGCCUGAGGCAGCAACGCCGCGUGCGGGAUGACGGCCUUCGGGGUGUAAACCGCUUUCGCCUGUGACGAAGCGUGAGUGACGGUAAUGGGUAAAGAAGCACCGGCUAACUACGUG